rnacentral:rRNA from 1 species
UGGGGAAUAUUGCACAAUGGGCGCAAGCCUGAUGCAGCCAUGCCGCGUGUAUGAAGAAGGCCUUCGGGUUGUAAAGUACUUUCAGCGGGGAGGAAGGUGUUGAGGCUAAUAACCUCAGCAAUUGACGUUACCCGCAGAAGAAGCACCGGCUAACUCCGUGCCAGCAGCCGCGGUAAUACGGAGGGUGCAAGCGUUAAUCGGAAUUACUGGGCGUAAAGCGCACGCAGGCGGUCUGUCAAGUCGGAUGUGAAAUCCCCGGGCUCAAUCUGGGAACUGCAUUCGAAACUGGCAGGCUAGAGUCUUGUAGAGGGGGGUAGAAUUCCAGGUGUAGCGGUGAAAUGCGUAGAGAUCUGGAGGAAUACCGGUGGCGAAGGCGGCCCCCUGGACAAAGACUGACGCUCAGGUGCGAAAGCGUGGGGAGCAAACA